rnacentral:rRNA from 1 species
GGCUCGAGCAGGUGCGAAAGCAGGUCAUAGUGAUCCGGUGGUUCUGAAUGGAAGGGCCAUCGCUCAACGGAUAAAAGGUACUCCGGGGAUAACAGGCUGAUACCGCCCAAGAGUUCAUAUCGACGGCGGUGUUUGGCACCUCGAUGUCGGCUCAUCACAUCCUGGGGCUGAAGUAGGUCCCAAGGGUAUGGCUGUUCGCCAUUUAAAGUGGUACGCGAGCUGGGUUUAGAACGUCGUGAGACAGUUCGGUCCCUAUCUGCCGUGGGCGCUGGAGAAUUGAGGGGGGCUGCUCCUAGUACGAGAGGACCGGAGUGGACGCAUCACUGGUGUUCGGGUUGUCAUGCCAAUGGCACUGCCCGGUAGCUAAAUGCGGAAAAGAUAAGUGCUGAAAGCAUCUAAGCACGAAACUUGCCCCGAGAUGAGUUCUCCCUGACCCUUUAAGGGUCCUGAAGGAACGUUGAAGACGACGACGUUGAUAGGUCGGGUGUGUAAGCGCAGCGAUGCGUUGAGCUAACCGAUACUAAUGAACCGUGAGGCUUAAC